rnacentral:rRNA from 1 species
UACGUAGGGUGCGAGCGUUAAUCGGAAUUACUGGGCGUAAAGCGUGCGCAGGCGGUUUUGUAAGACAGAUGUGAAAUCCCCGGGCUUAACCUGGGAACUGCAUUUGUGACUGCAAGACUAGAGUGUGUCAGAGGGGGGUGGAAUUCCACGUGUAGCAGUGAAAUGCGUAGAGAUGUGGAGGAACACCGAUGGCGAAGGCAGCCCCCUGGGAUAACACUGACGCCUCAGGCACGAAAGCGUGGGGAGCAAACAGG